GACGAACGCUGGCGGCGUGCUUAACACAUGCAAGUCGAGCGGUAAGGCCCUUUCGGGGGUACACGAGCGGCGAACGGGUGAGUAACACGUGGGUGACCUGCCCUCAGCUCUGGGAUAAGCCUGGGAAACUGGGUCUAAUACUGGAUAUGACUCCACGGUGCAUGUCGUGGGGUGGAAAGCCUUGUGCGGCUGAGGAUGGGCCCGCGGCCUAUCAGCUAGUUGGCGAGGUAACGGCUCACCAAGGCGACGACGGUACCGGGCGUGAGAGCGUGACCCGGCACAUCGGAACUGAGACACGGUCCGGACACCUACGGGUGGCUGCAGCAACGAAUAUUCCGCAAUGGGCGCAAGCCUGACGGAGCGACGCCGCGUGUAGGAU
rnacentral:rRNA from 1 species